UACCUCUGGCAUUCCUAUCAGAGCCUGAACCACAGACAGUACCUUAGAGUCUAAGCUUAGGUACCUUUGUCUUGUUUUUGUGGCUAAGGAUUCUCAGAGUUGCGGGAUGCUGAUGAAAUUUAUCCCAAAAGAUACAUGAUCCCUUAAUUCAGGCUCAGGCUGAAGAACUGACCCACUUACGACAGAAGACACAGGAAGGGAGAGGUGUCUGCUACCUUUUUACCCAGCAUGUGAAGAACACAGUCAAGUCUUUUGAGGGCCUUCUCAGGAACACUGGCAUUGCCUACUACCAGAGACAGAGAUUCUGUGAGCAAAUGGUACAAGGAAGCCAGCUGACAGAGAUCCUUGUCAGAAAACUUGUCACAGAAUCACCCCCAAUUCUCACCAACAAACUGAGAAGAAAAAAAAAAGAAUUACCCCCAAGAACAUCUGAGGAAGCACAACAGGGACAGACUUGAAGGCACCUGGGCAGUCCUCUGGUUUUGGAGUAGAGAAAAUCACAACGGCUCAGGAGGGACAUCAAGGAGGAAGAAAUGGAUAAAGUCCUGGAGGGACUUCAAACAGUAUUUGACCCAUUCCAGCCGCCAUGACUCCCACCAGCUUCGCAGCAGCAAUGCCUUCCUCUUUGAUGCACAGGAAGGCCCCUCGGCUGUGGAUAUAGCCAAAGAUGAGAUCCAGAGACAGCGGUAGCACCUGAAGGAGACCCUUUUCAUCAACAACUGCCUGUGAGAAAAGCUGGAAUGUCAUCUCAGCAGCUUUGAUGAAGAAAAUGGUGGGAGAGGCCCAACAUGCACCUCUAAACUCUACAGGCACAUCAUAGAUUCCAUCGUCCAGCUGUAUAAUGAAAACAGAGUUCUCAGAGAACACCGGAGACUCCCCCGACUUGCCUGAAUCAAGUUUCUAGAGGUAACAACUGAUGUUGGAACUAUGAAAAGCUCUUCUCUACUUUUAACAAAGCUUAGUCACAAACAGUUCCCCAGUUGACGAGAACAACUAAAACAACAGAACAAUUGAAAGUCCAAAUUUGAAAGCUCCAUCUCCGAGAAGCAAAUUUUACAGCCACUCCAGAUUUGUAUUCCAAAUGGAUAGUUUGAUUAUAAAAAUCACAUCCCUUCAGCCUGCAAAUGUGAUAACUGCCCAAGAGACAGUGAUGCCUACAUCCAUAGAUAAUCCCCUUUCCCCCAACCUAUAUAUAACUGGAGUCAACAGCAGCUGGAGGAAAAUGGCAAGGACUUGUAAUCAAGAUUAAGUUAGAAAAACACUGCUGUAGACUGUUUAUCAGCUCUUCAGCAUAUGUCCGUUUUCCUUGAAGGAUGAGCGUUUAGAAACCUCUGACAAUAAAGUUUAUUUUACACAC
rnacentral:lncRNA from 1 species